rnacentral:rRNA from 1 species
CGAAGUGAGUGGCGAACGGGUGAGUAACACGUGGGUAACCUGCCCAGAAGUAGGGGAUAACACCUGGAAACAAUGCUAAUACCGUAUAACAGAGAAAACCGCUGGUUUUCUUUUAAAAGAUGGCUCUGCUAUCACUUCUGGAUGGACCCGCGGCGUAUUAGCUAGUUGGUGAGGUAAAGGCUCACCAAGGCAGUGAUACGUAGCCGACCUGAGAGGGUAAUCGGCCACAUUGGGACUGAGACACGGCCCAGACUCCUACGGGAGGCAGCAGUAGGGAAUCUUCCACAAUGGACGCAAGUCUGAUGGAGCAACGCCGCGUGAGUGAAGAAGGGUUUCGGCUCNUAAAGCUCUGUUGUUAA